CAUUCUUUAGGACUGGUCUGCACACAUUUAGAGGACAUGUAGUGGUUUUUCCAUUGUGGAAUUGCUGUUUGACCUUAGCAUGACCUAUCUGAGGGAAUGCAGAACCACGAGUGGAAUCUGGUUCCAAGUGGGGAAAAUAUACUAGUGUUGCAUGAACUAGGGGAUUACCAAAGGGCCCUCACCUACCCCAGAUAAAGAUUUAGUCAAUGGGAGAAAAAAUCUCACCCACAGAGAAAGGUAGAAAUCCAUAAUUUUGGGAAGUGCUCUAGCCCCCUUAUUUAAAAAAGAAAAAAAUUCUUAAAAAUCUGUGGAAAAGCAGCAUCUGUCUCCUUGGUCUGUGUGUGUUUUUGAAUAAACUCCCAAAUGUUUCUUUGACCUCGGCACAGUUUAUUGAGAGCAGUUGUCAGGCACAGAUUGGGAUCCACAUUCCCCUAAUCUGCCUUCCAAAUUCCUUCUUGCAUUUUAUUUGGUCGUAUCCUGUGCGUUGCGACUUGGCAUUUCAGCAUUUGUCACUGAUCCUAUUUUAAAAAUCAAGCUUGCCGUUGUUUUGGCUCAGGUACUUUAGAAACAAAAAUUGAAAGUCAAGGAACUAUUCAGGAGGUCUUGGGAAAAAAAGGCAACACCAGCUGUUUUCUGUUAGUAACAACUGAAUCUGGAACACGGGUUUCCUUAGGCGCUGAUCUGCUGUCCACUAUUUCACCUCUGGUGUCUGAGCAAAUAUUAUAUUCACUGACUCAAGAUGAGAGUAAAAGCAAAUCUUUUUCUGUCUUCCAGUUCCUUGGGAAAAAGCACAAACUUGGGAAAGGAGAUGUUUAUUUUAAACUUGUGAUAGGAAUUAAAUGGUACCAAAUUCCAGUCCCAGGAAAAAUUGCGAUAAAGAAAGAAGGAGAUGAACCAGAAAGAUGAGACAGGAAAAAAGGCGAAGGCAAGUGGAAGCAUCAGUGAAGCCAAUGUGGAAAGGAUCAAGAAGAACAGACAAAUUGAGGCAGAAAAGCAAGGCCAGUAACUGUAAUGGUGAAGUUUUGAAAUGAUACUAUGCAUACUACAUUUUAAUGGGUAUCCUCCCCAUUCAAAUGAGAGGAAGGAGGAGGAAUUGGGAAGGUGAGUGGAAAAGAAUAUUUCAAACGAAUUCUCCCUACAUGACAUCACUUUCCUUUAGGCUGACCUUGAUUUCUUGUCACCAGAGCAGGUGCCACAUGUUUAGCUCUCUGAGCUGGUGGUAUGUCGCAAAUCCCAUGUUUUUAUGAGUGUUUUACACAACUUUUUCCUUGUGACUUAAACUCGUCUAGACUCAAAAGUCUAAGUUUGGACAGCAGAAGGAAGCCAAAACAGCAAAAGAAAGCAUGCUAUAGAAAAGAUACUAAAUCUUGACCAUAAACAGAGGAGGGAAACCAGACAGCUGUAUUGUACUUCAGUUAGUUUUGUUUACCACUAUCUGUCAGGGCUAGUCCUGCUGCUACUCUGAGCAAGUUGUCCUGCUUUAAUUUCAGUAGUAUCUGUUUAUCGCCCAGUCUUCGUUGCCAGUUAUGCUCAGGUCAUUAACUGCUUGGUUACCUCUUAACCUCAUUUGGGAAAGUUUAUAUGUUGAUAGUCCUGUAACUUGAACCAGCUCACUUAUUUUUAAGAAAGUUAGGAUUCUUUUUAUCUUCUCCAACUCAUCACUAAAAGAGGUUAAUUGAAAAAUACAGAGACCACUACUUAAGUAAUUUUUUCACCAAAGACAUUCAAUAUCAUGACAGAAUUCAGGAUGUGGAGGGAGACUGGCAGGUGGGGAAGGAGAGACAGAGAAGAGUUGGCAGGACCCAUGUGUAUCAUCUUCUCAGUUUAGAAGCCCAUAUGGUGCUUCAUAAUGCUCUGCUCAAUUGCCAUAUAGUUUUAGUCUACAUCCUAUUAAAAAUAAACCCUAUUAAGAAGAG
rnacentral:lncRNA from 1 species